CUUUUAAUACAGUUUUAAUUUUUUAUUUUAUAUCAUUUAAUUUAAAUUUAUCAUGUAGUUGAUUUACAAUGUUGUAUUAGUUUCAGGUGUAGAGCAAAGUGAAUACAUAUGAAGAAACCCACUUUUUUCCCAUCUAGGUUAAAACCAUUACAAACUAUUGAGUAAAUUUUCCUAGGCUAUGCAAUCCUAAUGACUUUACCAGAAUAACCUCUAGCUAAUUUUUGACCCUCAUUUUUCAGACUCCAGAACCCCGUGGUGUUGUUUCCACAUACCACCUCCAGCUGGAGCACGUCUAUUGGCAGGCGUCUCAGGGCUGAUGUUUACUGGGCCCCUGAGUAGUGCCUGCUCCUGGCUUCCUUAUGACAAUGCUUUGCCUGAUAGUUAGGACACCCUACUACUGUCUGUAUACCAAGAAAAAGAGUUCAGUAACCAUGGCCUCUGAGUGUCAAACACUUGAGAUCGAAUCAGAUAUAAGCGUAGUCAUGUUAUAGAGAUAGAUUGUUGAAGUGGUUCAUCUGGAGCUUUUCUCAGUGAUGGUCAUAAGACUGUUCUGGAUGUACCAGUAUUUGGUCUGUAUCGGUAAGAUGACCAGAGACAGCUGCUUUUGAAAGAAGAGUUUAUCAGAGUUCCCAUCGUGGCUCAGCGGAAACAAAUCUGACUCGUAUCCAUGAGGAUGCAGGUUCGAUCCCUGGCCUCGCUCCCAUGGGUUAAGGAUCUGGCGUUGCCAUGAGCUGCAGUUGUAGGUCGCAAAUGUGGCUUGGAUCUGGCGUGGCUGUGGCGUAGACCAGUGGCUACAGCUCUGAUUCGACCCCUAGCUCUGGAUGGGUUUGUCUGUAUGUCAAAGGCAAGCUCAUUGGCAAGUUGAUUGCCAUCUCUAGGAAUUAACUAACUGGAGAAGGGGCAGUUCUUCCCUAGUAUGCAGGGCCCCAAGAUGUUAAAGCAUCAUAAAAUAUGGGGCAGGGGGUUGGGGGGUGAGACAUUAAAACAAUGACCCCAAAUGGCCAAUCACAAUGCAUUUUUCCCUAGUUCCACAUUCAAGGGGUGGUCAUGUGACCUAAGCCAGAACUAUCAAUCUUUUCCUUUACUCUUGUCAUGUAAGGAUAUGUUCCUGCAGCUCCUGGCAGCCAGGAAGGGCCAACUCUGAGUGAAGGAACCUGAUAUAUACAGAGAGCAACUGGAUGGCACUAAAGUCUUAUGAUGGAGUCACACAGACGUAAUAAAUUAAAAUCUCAGCUCUUUAACUUCACAUAUGACUAUGACUAGUUACAUAACCUCAUUUGAAAGUAGAAAUCUCAGGUUUUUGAUUCAAGUAAACACAAUGUCCUAAUAGUUAUUUUCACAUAGUAAGUACUCAACCAGUGGCAAAAUUAUUCUCAGAUAUGAUUUAAGAGGUUUAAUUAUUAGCACAUGGGAUUUUCUGUGAAGUGCCCCUCCAGGAGAAAUUUUUAGGCCCUCUAAUCUUUCCCCAUUGUCUUGUUUUCAUGGUACCUACCCUUUCAGCAUGGGGGAGGUGCCACACGUACAGCACCAAACACUGUGAUAGGCAUAUAGUAGAUGCUUUAGAAAAGUUGUCACCAUCUUUGGGAAUCCCUGGGCCGAGAAGAGCCUGAGUUGUGACCAGGACUCUCCUAUAUUUGGGGGCAGGACUGUCCUUGUGGAGGGGAUGGUGGCUUUAGGUUACCUCAGCUCCAAGACCACCCAUACUUACAUAUCUUAUGUAUGUCCGUUAAUACAUUGACUUUUGGAUUUUUAUUUUUAAAAAAGAUCACAUCUGCUUGACACUUUCUCUUUAGGACCAAACCCCUGAAGUCUUCCUCCCAGAGAGCCCUAGCUUCAUACUGCUUUAAGACAGGGGCCGUGUGUAUAUCUUACACUGAUGUAAAAUCACAAUACCCAAGUUCUUAUAAUUCUGCUUCUUGGCUUUGUGCUUGGGGUUGGUGCACUCCCACCACACCUGCAACAAGAAAGGUUAUAGCAUGACCGCUAGUUCAGGAAGAAGUAGAGUCAUUCGUGAGGAGGCUCUUGGGCACUGCUGCAGAUGGACCUAAGGGCUGACAAAUGGUCCCUAGUGGAUACCCUUGCAUCUGGAGGGGUAAUAAGGAGCAGUGGUAGAGAGGAAGAUUCUAAUAUCACUGCACCUGGUUUGAACCCAGCUCUUCCACUUUCCAGCUGUGUGGCCUUUUGGCAAAUUACUUGAUUCUUCCUUGCCUGGCGUAUCUCCCUGUAAAGUGGAACUUAAUUGUAAUUCUCUCAUAGGAUUAUUGUGAGGAUUGAGUGACUAACCCCUGUAAUACAUUUAGAACAGUGCCUGACACUUAAAAGCCCUUAUUACUAGUAGGGUCAAAUCAAGCAGCAAACGGAAGGAGCCAUCUGAAGACACACAACUGAGUAAUCCAAAUGCUGAGGCUUAGUGUCUGGGAAUUGAUUUAAGAGGUAGGGAAACUGAGGAAUGUCGAAUAGUGGCUACGAGAAGUUGGUGAGGAUAAUGAUGAGUUGGCAUAGCGCUUCUCAGAGGAGAACUAAAAUAAUGGACUGGUACAGGUCAACAGCAGUGGCACAAUGGAUGCCACAAAGGGGCUUCUGUGAGUGAGGCAUAGAGUCAGAUCUACAGGAGGUGCUGGGAACUGAGGAGGUAGUUGGGAGCUGAAGGGCUCUCGAGUCAAGCAGAUCUCAACUUGUCCAGUGUACAGAAGACUUCAGGGGAUAAGUCAAAAAUCCAAGUCAUUGCUGCUGCCCACUGUGCUAUGGGAGUAGAUCUUUGAAUUUCUACUCACAAAGC
rnacentral:lncRNA from 1 species